rnacentral:rRNA from 1 species
UACAGAGGUCUCAAGCGUUGUUCGGAUUCAUUGGGCGUAAAGGGUGCGUAGGCGGCGCGGUAAGUCGGGUGUGAAAUCUCGGAGCUUAACUCCGAAACUGCAUUCGAUACUGCCGUGCUUGAGGACUGGAGAGGAGACUGGAAUUUACGGUGUAGCGGUGAAAUGCGUAGAUAUCGGGAGGAACACCGGUGGCGAAGGCGGCCAUCUGGACAGUAACUGACGCUGAGACGCGAAAGCGUGGGUAGCAAACGGG